rnacentral:rRNA from 1 species
UACGGGGGGGGCAAGCGUUGUUCGGAAUUACUGGGCGUAAAGGGCUCGUAGGCGGCCAACUAAGUCAGACGUGAAAUCCCUCGGCUUAACCGGAGAACUGCGUCUGAUACUGGAUGGCUUGAGGUUGGGAGAGGGAUGCGGAAUUCCAGGUGUAGCGGUGAAAUGCGUAGAUAUCAGGAGGAACACCGGUGGCGAAGGCGCUCAUCUGGCCCAAUACUGACGCUGAGGCGCGAAAGCUAGGGGAGCAAACGGG